UUCUUACAAUUUUAUGUGUAUGCUACAGCUACACAAACAACCUCGAACCUACAUCAGGCUACGUCCCUGUAACAUUUCUAUAAACUAAUGUGAAUAAAUUAAAAGUUUAUAAUACUUGGCUAACGAAAGAUUAAGCGACCUUAAUUAUUUUAUAAAUCAAAGAAUGGCAUUAUCAAUUAAAAAAAUAAUAAUAAUUAUAGUUACGGCUGUUACGUAGUGACGUAAUUGUAUUGUCAAUUAGAUUUGAAAAUAUUGAAAAUUAAUCCUACCAAAUCAUAUAUUACAGCCACAUUUUAAUAAAUUAAUAUUUAUUUAAAACCUUUUCUUCGUAAAGAUAUUUUGGUAAAAAGAAUGACAAACCAGCCAAUUAAGGAUAAAGAGUUUUAUUUGAACAGCGGAAAUCUAUUCAGUGAUAAGAUUGGACACAUGACCAGACGCAAAGACUUCCGCGAAUAUCUGGACCGGAAGGGCGUGCUGGACAAGUUCACCGAAAUUUUUAUGGAGCUAUACGAGUGCCCAGUUAUGGAAUUUCCAAACAUCGAAUACAUCAGGAAGAUGAUGGUAAAACCGAAUCCAGACGAAGAAAAAAUAUCGGAAAUCAAAACUAAACUGGUCGAGGCUUAUUCGUUCAGAGAUUAUUUGAAAACUGAAAACGAACAUUUGAGGGCAGUACUCACAGCUAACCAUACUAUGUCUGCGGAGGAGGAAUAAUAUUAUAUGUUACAUCGGCUACGGACUACAGAAAAUCUACAAGUGGUAUCUACUUAAGUAAAGUUAUAUCUAGAUUUUUUUCAAAUUGGUUGAACACCGGAGAACAUUUCCCCCUACUAAAAUCGUUUACAAACAAAAUUAACUGACGUAUCACCUUCACAAUUCAUUAAAAAUAGCAAAUUUAAACUAAGAAAACAAUUAUGUGAAAAGAGAUAAUAAAAUAAAAUAACCACAAAAAACGAA